UAGAUUCUCUUGAGAGCGGCGGACGGGUGAGUAAUGCCUAGGAAUCUGCCUGGUAGUGGGGGAUAACGUUCGGAAACGGACGCUAAUACCGCAUACGUCCUACGGGAGAAAGCAGGGGACCUUCGGGCCUUGCGCUAUCAGAUGAGCCUAGGUCGGAUUAGCUAGUUGGUGGGGUAAUGGCUCACCAAGGCGACGAUCCGUAACUGGUCUGAGAGGAUGAUCAGUCACACUGGAACUGAGACACGGUCCAGACUCCUACGGGAGGCAGCAGUGGGGAAUAUUGGACAAUGGGCGAAAGCCUGAUCCAGCCAUGCCGCGUGUGUGAAGAAGGUCUUCGGAUUGUAAAGCACUUUAAGUUGGGAGGAAGGGCAGUUGCCUAAUACGUAACUGUUUUGACGUUACCGACAGAAUAAGCACCGGCUAACUCUGUGCCAGCAGCCGCGGUAAUACAGAGGGUGCAAGCGUUAAUCGGAAUUACUGGGCGUAAAGCGCGCGUAGGUGGUUUGUUAAGUUGGAUGUGAAAUCCCCGGGCUCAACCUGGGAACUGCAUUCAAAACUGACUGACUAGAGUAUGGUAGAGGGUGGUGGAAUUUCCUGUGUAGCGGUGAAAUGCGUAGAUAUAGGAAGGAACACCAGUGGCGAAUGCGACCACCUGGACUAAUACUGACACUGAGGUGCGAAAGCGUGGGGAGCAAACAGGAUUAGAUACCCUGGUAGUCCACGCCGUAAACGAUGUCAACUAGCCGUUGGGAGCCCUUGAGCUUUUAGUGACGCAGCUAACGCAUUAAGUUGACCGCCUGGGGGAGUACGGGCCGCCAAGGGUUAAAACCUCAAAUUGAAAUUUGAACGGGGGG
rnacentral:rRNA from 1 species